CACCCCGCCUUCGACGGUUCGGGAAGACGCAGCCCAGGUGCCGCGUCUCUCGCCGGACCCCGUCCGCCGACCCCGCGGCGGGAAGCUCGCGCGGUCAGCCUGCCUGCGGUCACCGCCACGCACCCAGGUCGCGUGCCCUCCCCAGGAAAGCCGGCCAGGCAGUGGGGACCCUGACUCACCUGGAGACCCCGCACGUGGGGUUCACUUGGAGGCAGCCAGUGAUGUCUGGGGUCCGAGCUUGUGGCUUUCCCUCGGACUCUGAGAUCUGGACACAUCCCAGGCCCAGUGUGUGGUCCCCGCACCAGGUCCACUGAGUGGAACUUUGUGGAGACAGGACACUUAGAAACAGUGAACCAACGUCCUGCUUCAGAAGCAAAGAAAGGUGGUCCCGCGGGCUGGAGAGUGAGCCUCUGCACGGUCCUGCGGGACAGCACCACAGGGGGUCCGCUUCUGCCGUCAUGAACACCAAGAACACUUCGAAACCGUUUUCUGCUUCCCCGAGUAUUGCGUGUUCAUUGAAGAAAAGAUGCAAAACACAGAGGCAAAGAUGAAGUAUUCCAGCACACAGAGAAAACCCCUGUUAACGUGUUCACACAUACCUUCGAGAGUGUUUUCCAAGCCUGUGUAUGUCUAACAACAACGAGACUAUGUGGAGUAUUCCCGUAUGUAUAUGCACAUAUAUAUUUUACUUCAUUUGAA